rnacentral:rRNA from 1 species
AUGUGGGGUGUUCUUUGCCGCAGCCUACCAACAACACUCGUCCCACUACCCAACCUAAGAAAGAUUGUUCUCAGCAACAUGCAUAACCUGGAAGAGUUCAACACAGCAUGCUCUAUAGGCGAGGAUGGUGCAAAUGAGCUCACGUUGGCUAAACUUGAGUAUCUGGAAAUAGACAAUUGCCCCAAGUUGAGGAUUAAACCGUGUCCGCCUAGAUCAGUGUACUGGCGUAUAUCUCGUGCUGACAAUGUGCUAUUGUCAUGGGGAGAGUGUGCCUCAAGCACAGCUGCUUCCUCCUCAUCUUCUUCUGUGAGUAAGCUAGAAGUUGAAUACUCUGAGUUGCCUUUGCACCAGUGGAGAUUGCUUCACCACCUACAUGGUCUUAGUGAUUUAACUAUCUCCGAUUGCAAUGAUCUGACCAUCUCACCACAGAUCACCCGAGCGUUCACCUCCCUCGAAUCACUGGAAUUUCGUAGCCUGGAAAAAUUACCAGAGUGGUUAGGGGAGCUCACAUCUCUUCGGCAGCUUAACUUAAUAUUCAUCCACCACCUACAGGAAUUGCAUGAGAACACGAGGCAGCUUAGACAGCUGCAAUCGCUCCGCCUGCACUUUUGCAAUACGUCGACAUCACCACCGCAAUGGUUAGGAGAACUCACCUUGCUCAAGACACUUAAAAUCACUUAUUGCAAGGGCAUCAUUUCUUUACCGGAGCGCAUACUCACCAACCUCCAAGAACUUUAUAUUUCGAACUGCCCUGAAUUAUAUAGAUGGUGUAAGUUAGAAGAGAACCGGAUGAAACUAGCUCACAUCAAGGAAAAGGUAUAUGUCUUAAAUCGCUCAUGGAUAUUGACGAUCGAGGAUGGUGGUCCUUGGAGCUCUUCUGACGCCCCAGGUGUCCCUCCAGCUAAGAUGGGCAUAGGUUUCAAGUCCAUUGUUCUGUCCCGGACCAUGAGGUUGCUAUCAUCGAUCUUCCUCCAUCAAGAGGAGGCCAAGAGGGUGAAUGCCGAGAUACCGUGUUUUAGAUCUGUGUGUCUUGCCCUUGCUGAAACACGAAUAAAUGUCAGAGAUAGGAACGCUAUGUCUGAAAGAGCAAACAUAUGCCGCUUCAAUCCCGCGAGGUUGGCUGACAUAACUCGCCUGCUGCACCUUGCAUGUGAAGGAUGCUUCUGCUGCUCCCACGAAGAUGUCAUACUAGCCGCCAUCAACCACCUCCACGAGCACUUAGCCGCAUGCCCGCAUCCUCAGGAGGUCGACGACCGACCACCCCACGGAUCUGCACCAGGGAGGCCCAAACACGCGAGCAGGUCCGUCCAGAUCGAGAUCGGCCCCUGUUCGCCACGCCCAGGAGCUCAGGCCAACUCCACCGCGCGACCCUAUCCUGUCCGCCCCGCGCAAACUUGCGCCGGGUUUGGGUCGCGGUGGACACCAAACGGACGCGCCCUCGUCCGCGUCGGGGCCGCGUGGCAGGCGGCCACCUACCUUCCUCCCGCCCACAUCAAUGCGCACGGGCGGGCGGCCCCACCUGUCAUCCACACAUGGAAGGGUCGCCGUCCUUCUUUAAGUGGGAAGCGUGGACCGGUCGUCGUCCACACUGCCCCAUGCCACCCCGCGGCCUCCUCGAAACCCGACAGCCCCAGGCCCCAAACCCUAGCCAAGAACUCGCCGGCCGGCCGCCCCGCAGCCAUGGGGCUCUGGAACUACGGCCGCAAAGGCAAGCACGACCGCGAGGCUGGCUCCUCGUCGGGGCGUCACCGCGGCUCGAUGAAGAAGGAGGAGCCGGCCUCGCCAUCGCCACCACGCCGGGCCCCCUCGCCGCCCGCGUUCUCCAUCGCCCCCGCGUCCGCCGGCGAGCGCGACCGGCACUACAUCCGCGCUGAGGAGAUCAAGCGCCGCCGCCGCCUCCUCCCGGACGACCACUACUACGACCCCAGGUACGCCCCCGACUCGCCAUUGUGGGACACCUGGUUCCGCGAUGAGCAUGACGCGCAGCGGGCGUCCUAUUUCGCCGGCACGUCGAUGGGGCCACGGCGGCCACGCCCAGAGCGCCCAGCGGCUGCUCCCCAGGAGCGCGGGCGUAGGGUGGUGCGCGGCCUCACGCCCACGCCGUCGCCAUCUCCAUCGCCACCACCACCUCCUCGCAUGACGGCGGAGGAGGAAGCCCGUCUCGUGCAGCGUGUCAUGGAGGACUCCAUGCGCACGCACGACGAGCGGCAAUGGGACGGCUUGGAGGAGGCCAUGGCACUGUCUGCCGCCGGCGACGUGGCCUUCCCGGAGCUGCAGAUGGCGGCCUUGACGGAGGAGAGGAGGGAGGACGCCAUGGAGGAGGAGCCGGCGGCCGCCUUCCAGCAGCUGGUGGGCACGGGGUGGGCCUGGUCCUGCACUGCUCCGGAGAUGGCCGCCUGCCUGGGCGUGGACUGGCGCGCCACUCCGCCGCAGUCACCGGAGCGGGAGGGGUCGCCACGGGAGGAGGUGUUGCAGGCACCUCCCGCCGUCCAGCCCGCCCCCGUCUACCAGGCACCGCACGCACCGCCGGCCCACCUGUGGACGCCGCCGGCCUACGUCCAGCGACGACAACGAUACCGGCGGCCAGUGAAGAGCGCCACGGCGACGGCAACGACAGGCACGGGCAUGAGCGCGCCGGCGGAGACCUCAUUUUUUUUAUGUUUUCCUGACACGGACGUGAUUUGGGGUGCGGCCACGCGGUGGGCGCACGCACGAUUCAAUGAACACAGCCGGACACGGGCAUACCCAUCGGCGCCUCAAACAGACAAAAUCCGGCCAAUCCGGACGUUCGUUUGGAAUCGUGCAGUGGAGUUGGCCUCAGCGCUCCCGCAACAUCCGGGCACACCACCGCUCUGUCCUGGCGCGCAAUCCCGCUCCCAGAGGACAGCCCUGCGUGCCGCCGCGACCGCGGCACACCAGAUCCGCGGGAGCCCGCACGGCAACGACCAACGCGGAAACGGCGGCCCUCCACCGAGCGCGUACCGCCCAGCCUCCAGCACAUCAGUCCGCGCCGCCACGCCACCAGCGCGCGCCGCGCCGCGCUCGCACCCGACCUCGCCAUGCACCCGCGCUCCUCAGCCCAGUUGA